CCUACGGGAGGCAGCAGUGAGGAAUAUUGGUCAAUGGACGGAAGUCUGAACCAGCCAUGCCGCGUGCAGGAAGACGGCUCUAUGAGUUGUAAACUGCUUUUGUACAAGGGUAAACCUGAAUACGUGUAUUCAGCUGAAAGUACUGUACGAAUAAGGAUCGGCUAACUCCGUGCCAGCAGCCGCGGUAAUACGGAGGAUCCAAGCGUUAUCCGGAUUUAUUGGGGUUAAAGGGUGCGUUGGCGGAUUGAUAAGUUAGAGGUGAAAGGUCAGAGCUUAACUGGGGAACUGCCUCUUAUACUGUUGAUCUAGAGAGUAGGUGCGGUAGGCGGAAUGUAUGGUGUAGCGGUGAAAUGCUUAGAGAUCAUACAGAACACCGAUUGCGAAGGCAGCUUACCAAUCUAUAUCUGACGUUGAGGCACGAAAGCGUGGGGAGCAAACAGGAUUAGAUACCCGUGUAGUC
rnacentral:rRNA from 1 species